rfam:Rattus norvegicus chromosome 3, whole genome shotgun sequence.
GUAGCUCAGUGGUAGAGCGCUUGCCUAGGAAGCACAAGGCCCUGGGUUCGGUCCCCAGC